rnacentral:lncRNA from 7 species
GGGGAUUGGCGCCAUAGUCCGUCGAGCUCUGGACCAGGGAGCUUCACCGGGUUGCGCCGCAGUAGUUCAAAACCUCGUCGCGAGUGAACGAAGUGGGGGGAUCCGGCGAUUUCUCACCGGACUUGCUGGCCGCACGCCGUCGUGGCCACGGGUGUCCUCGCUGCGAUUUCCGGUAUGACGCCUUCUCUGAAGCUCGCUAUAGUCCCUAAUACAUCUAGAGUAGGCAUGUUCUUAGAAUAGGGCAUCUGUAUGCCAGGGCGUCGCUCGCCGGCGAGGUCUUGCCACGGAGCGUCGGGCUCUGCCGCGGCGUGCCGCCGGAGUGGGUGAGGGCGAGUGCGUGCCUUUUGAUACUGAAACCAACAGUUGAGAUUAGAGAUGGGAGUACCCCUUCGCAAGACGGAUCUAGCCCAUUGGAUCGUAAUCUGGUGGAUGUCGUGCGACCCGCACUAUUUAAAACUGGGCCAUUGGAUCUAAAUUCGAAGGUCUAUGUGGCGUGACCGUUGGAUGAUAUCUAUGCGGUCGAGAUUAGUUUGCUAGAAUCCUUUCGUUCAAUAAGAUCUGAACUGUAGGAUGACUCGGGUACGGUGGAGAUUAGGCCUUGGUUUGUUUAAAUCCUGUGCAUUGAUUCUGGAUCGGGCGGUUCUGGUUGUGUACCAGUUCGGUGAUGGCUGAAUGUAAUUUAGGUUGUCCGUGUGAAAUGCAUUGGUCGGGAUCUCUGCGUACCCCUUCGGCUGUGUGAACAGUGCUAAAGAGCACCUGCAUUUUUCCUUAUUCAACCCGCCAUCCUCAGCCUAUGUAAAGUAAUUACAACCAAGCCUAGAACUUUGCACCUUAGCCCCUAUAAUGUCUGGUAUUUGUGUCCGUGGUCCAGAGUUGUUAGGAAUAUUCAGAAUUAAAUCAGAAAAUGAUUUUUAGUAUAAAAAUAAUUUCAUAAACUUGUUUAAUUCAUAUUUAAUUCAUUUUAACUCCUUUUUGAUCCAUUCCAGUUGCAUUAAAUUCAUAUUAAUAUUGUUUAUCAUCUAGUAACCUUGUAUUACCAUGAAAUCUAUGGUUAAAAUCUUGUACCUCAUUUGUUUUAGAAGGGACACCUAAACCUUCGGAAAAUCAUAACAUUAUAACCAUAACUCCGAAUUUAGUAGUUCUCGAACGCAGGAUCUAGUUACAACGCAUAGAAUAUUAUUAUGCACUUUGUUCUUAUGUUUGGUGUGAUGUUAAUUUUGCCUAUACCCUAUUUGUUUGUAUUGCUACGAAUAGCAGCGAGGUUACGAGUCACUUGAAGAUCAAGUUGGUACAUGGGAAUCUCGAGUCUGAGGCAAGUUGUGCCCUUGAUCAUUUUUUCUUUACCUAAUAAUGUUCAGAUUAAUCAUUGUUACAUGCUCAAGUUAAUCUGAUAGGACCUAAUAGGUUUCCCUAGACUUGUUUAUCCCACACCUUGUUUACCACUGAACUUUUGGGUAGUUUUGCUAUUGCUCUACCUGGUUUUGGGAUUAAUAUUAUAUUAUGAUCAUGUUCCAGUUAUACUGUUGUUUUAAUUAUUGUGCAUGACAAGAUCAUCAUGUUAAUUGGAACAUGGAGCUCAACUUGAGAUAUCCAUGCUACCACAAGGGUGGAAUUGGACGCCCUUGGCUGACUAAUUAGGAAAGCUAGUGGAGGACUACCUUAUCCAAAAGGGGCAAGGGUGGUAGAAGAGCUGCAUAUAGGGAGGUUCUCGGGUCAAUCAUGCUGCGAUGGAUUUUCAGACGAGGGAUUCCUAUAUUGCCCUUCUCAGAAACCGUAGCGGGGUUUCUGAAGCUAGUGGAACUUUGUAAAGGCCUCGUAGUGCUACCCUGCCUCGCCUCCUCGGUAGAGGUGUAUGGGAUCCGUACAACCCUGUGGCAACUGGGUAACAUGUCUUGUGGGUAAAGGGUGCAACCUCUGCACAGUGUAAAACUGGUAUAUCAGCCAGGCUCACGGUCAAUAGCGACUCAGGACUAUCGCAUGAUUAAUUUAUGGAACUAAACUUAAUCUGUCAUAUGCAUUGCAUCGCAGGUGUUAAUAUUAAUUUUGAUCUCUUACUUAUUUUGGUUGGUAUCUACUUAUAAGUAACUACUAAUAAAAAUUUGACCAACUUUAAAAGCAAUGCUCAGCUUUCACCAUCUCCUUUGGUAAGCCUUACACUUCACAUGAGCUCCCACCUUUGGUGAGUUCAUGCACAUUAUUCCCCACAACUUGUUGAGCGAUGAACGCAUGUGAGCUCACUCUUGUUGUACUCACAUCCCCCCAGGUCAAGAACAGGUACCACAAGAUAAGGAGCAUGAAGGAUGUCACGAUGAGAUUCGUGAGAGGUCUAGGCCGUCGUCUCCCAGUCAACUAUGGUUGCUGGAUCAUUGUCUUCGUAUGAUGUAAUUAUUUAACUAUUUUGUACAGAACUCCGUUAUAUAGUAAAGAUGUGACAUUUGUUUCUGU